GAACACACACAACACACCAAGAAGAGGAGAGCAGGGAAAAAAGGAAGAGAAAAGAGGGAAAAAAGGAAAGGAAGGAAAAAAAGAAAAAGUAAAGGGAAGUUCACCUAUAUUGUUAGAAAAUAAGUGCUUCCUACUAGUAAGCUCGAAUUGUUCAAUUGAAAGGUAAGUAAAAAUUUACUUAUUAUGUAGUUAUGGUUAAUUUUAUAGUUUUUAAAUUGUUAGUUUAAAUUCAAUUUUAUCGAAAGGGAACUAUUGAAUUAAGUAGAAUGAGCUACAUAAUUAAGUUAGAUGAAAGAAAAAUUAGCUUAAAUGAUUAAAGGAACUUUAGAAAUCGCUUAAACGUGAAAUGAUUAAGCUUGGGUAUCGCUUAUUUAAAUAGAUUUGGGUUGGAUCUAGUUUCAUGUUUGAUUGGGUUUUAGUGUUGAUUUUAUGAUCUUUUAAUUUGAUGGGUUUUAGAGAUUGAAUUUGCAGCAUGGAUAUGAUUUGGAGUUUUACUGACUUCAAUUUCAUUUAUUAGUUUUUAGUUUUAAUCUCAAAUAUUUUUUAGGGGAAUUAGGGUUUGAGUUUCACUUCAAUUGAUUUGCAUAGAUACGCUGGAAAUAAUGAUUAUUUGUGAAGUGGUGAUUAUUUUAGAGAUUGUUGAUUUUAAUUUGUUUUAAAAUUUUCAUCUUCGACCUGAGAUUUUGGGAAUAAUAAGAAUUUACUACUCAUUGAAGUAAAAAGUAAUUAAUGCAUUUUGGGUUAAAAUGUUAAAAGUUCUUUAUAUGGAGGCGAAAAUUUUAAAAAUAGUGGUUUGCUUCCCAAAUGACAAUGUAAAGUGAUUUGUUUGUGCUGCUUAAAUAUUCCAUGAUCCCUAAUAAAAGUUCAUUUAUUUUCUGUUAUCGGGUAUCAGAAUCUAUAUUUUAUUUAUUUUCCUUGAAAGAGUUCCAUUUAUUUUUUAUCUUGUCAAACUAUACUUUUUUUUUAACAUUUAUAUUUCCAUAAUCAAGGACUAUGAUGCACCUUAACUCUAAGAUGUGUCUGGGUUUGUGCUUAUGCUGUGGGGGACGUAUUGAAGACAACAGAAACAAUGUAGAUGCUUAGGAUUUUAUAAUAAUUAAUAUAACUUUCUUUGAAUCAUUUUCUAACUAUUUCAUUCUUUGGGAUAGCUGAUUUUCUCCUAGCUGCGAUUUGGGUUAUCAAACUUUACUAAAGGUACUUUUUUCCCGAAAAGAAAAAAAAUUUGAUUUUCUUUCUUGUUUUUGUAAGAAAAUAAUCUACAUUGGCACAGAUUUUGUAAUCAAUUAUCCUUUAUUGAGUUGAAAAAGGGAAGAAUCUAAAAGAAAUCUUGUUAUCAAAACUGCUUUUGGCAGAGAAUUGAAGAAAAUGGUUUCUUCUUGUGACUUUCAGAACAAAAGAUUCGAAAGGAAAAUGGCCCCAGAAUUCUUCAAGAGAGAAGCGAAUUUAUUUAUUGUGGCGGGAAGAUUUUGUUUCAAUGCAACUGAUCAAGUUCUUCAUUUGCAAAAUGUAAUGGAAAUUAGAAGUCCACAUAAUGAGAUUGGUGGAAGAAUUUCAUUGGUUGGUAUGGGUGG
rnacentral:lncRNA from 1 species